rnacentral:rRNA from 1 species
AGCGAACGCUGGCGGCAGGCUUAACACAUGCAAGUCGAGCGGGCCCUUCGGGGUCAGCGGCAGACGGGUGAGUAACACGUGGGAACGUACCCUUUGGUUCGGAAUAACGCUGGGAAACUAGCGCUAAUACCGGAUACGCCCUUUUGGGGAAAGGCUUGCUGCCGAAGGAUCGGCCCGCGUCUGAUUAGCUAGUUGGUGGGGUAAUGGCCUACCAAGGCGACGAUCAGUAGCUGGUCUGAGAGGAUGAUCAGCCACACUGGGACUGAGACACGGCCCAGACUCCUACGGGAGGCAGCAGUGGGGAAUAUUGGACAAUGGGCGCAAGCCUGAGCCAGCCAUGCCGCGUGAGUGAUGAAGGCCUUAGGGUUGUAAAGCUCUUUUGUCCGGGACGAUAAUGACGGUACCGGAAGAAUAAGCCCCGGCUAACUUCGUG